AUAAUAUGACACAGCUGCCAACCAGCGAGGGAAACUUAAGGCUGUCCCGUCACCAGGGCGGCACGCCCCUCCCACGCGGGCCUAGCGGAUGCGCGGGGCCACCACUGCCCUCCGGGUGCGUGGGUGCCUCGGGCCACCCGUUACCGGCUCGCUGCGCCCGGCUCGGGCUACAGGGACGCCGAGCGCGCCUGCCCCUCCGCCUGCGUUGCUGCUCCCACGCCGACUCCGAGAGCAUCAGGGGAGGAGCCCUGGGCUCGCCUGGGCCAAGCCCGCCGCCGCCUUUGUGACGCGCAGCCACCCACUGGCUCUGCUAGCGCCUGCUGAGUCCCAAACCCGGAGUUGCCAGAUCCAUUGAAGGUGAAGGAAGAGGGCGCUGCACAGACCCACCGGGAAAGCACGCAGGGCAGGCAGAGGCGGGAGACUGGAAGUAGGCGCACCUGGAGAGGAUCCCCAGGCGCUCUACCCAGUCCUCUAUGCAUAGCAGCGUAGAGGUCUGAACCUGACUCUGUGUUCAGGUCGGUUCCCUCCAGUUUUGACCUCCGGGAGCUUUGAGCCCAGGUGACCACAGCCCGUCAAGUUAACAAAACUAACUCAUGGAUGGUGGAAAUCUCCCAUCAAGCAUGUUAUCCUGUUUGCCUAUAGAGGAGAAUUCACUCCAACUUCAGCAAGGGAGAGCUUGCACAUUCUGCUGACAUAGUCCAGACUACUCAAACUGUUCUGGCUAGUUUUACAUCAACUUGACUGAAGCUAGAGUUAUCUGAAAGGAGGGAACCUCAACUGAAAAGAUGCCUCCCUAAGAUCUGGCUGUAAGAUAUUUCCUUACAUAGUGAUUGAUUGGGGAAGGGCCUAUCCCAUCCCUGAGCUGGUAGUCCUGGGUUCUAUAAGGAAAAGCAGGCUGAACAAGUCAUGGGGUGGGGCAGGGGAGCAAGCCAAUAAUCAGCACACUUCCAUGGCCUCUGUAUCAGCUCCUGCCUCUAGGUUCCUGCUCUCUUUGAGUUCCUGUUUUGACAUCCUUUGAGGAUGAACAGUGUAAUAUAGAAGUGUGAGCCAAAUAAACCUUUUCCUCCCCAA